rnacentral:rRNA from 1 species
AUGGCUUCAAGAGAAAAAGAGCUCAAGUCCCCCUGCACUUCUACUUCAAGCUGGUCGGCUGCAUCAGCGCGUCCGUGUCAGCAGGCCGGCAUGUGCAACGGGCGGGGCUGCAAGCGGGAGUCCGCCGUCCGCGCGUCGCUGCGCCUGGGCGAGCGGGCGACUGCGUCCGCGGCCGGCGGCCUGGGGCGAGGCCGGCGCUGCGCGACGACGGGGCCUGAGGCUGGUGUUGAUCUUAUGGUGGCAACGAGGACGAGUCCGUCCAAGGCGGAGCCCAUGGCGCGGGAGCCGCCGCGUCCGGCAACGGGAGCUGAGGCCGAGAUCGCCAGGACGGAGAAGCUCCUGCACUUGCUCCUAUGGGGGCCGAACUAA